CCUACGGGAGGCAGCAGUGAGGAAUAUUGCUCAAUGGGCGCUAGCCUGAACCAGCCAUGUAGCGUGAAUGAUGACUGCCCUAUGGUUUGUAAAUUUUUUUUAUGUGGGAAUAGAGUGCAGUGUGUAUACUUCUUUUCAUGUACCUUAUGAGUAAGAGUCGGCUAAGUCCGCUCCAUCAGCCGCGGUAAUAUGGAGGAGGCGAGCGUUACCCGGAUUGAUUGGAUUUAAGGGGAGCGCAGAUGGGUUGUUAAGUCAGUUGUGAAAGUUUGGGGCUCAACCGUAGAAUUGCAAUUGAUACGGGCAGGCUUGAGUAUAGUAGAGGGAGGCGGAAUUCGAGGUGUAGCGGUGAAAUGCGUAGAUAUCACGAAGAACACCGAUUGCGAAGGCAGCUUACUAAACUGUGACUGACAUUGAUGUGCGAAAGUGUGGGUAUCAAACAGGAUUAGAUACCCUUGUAGUC
rnacentral:rRNA from 1 species